rnacentral:lncRNA from 1 species
GCACGGAGGCCUCCGUGCUACCAAGUUGUUUUCGAUGAUGCGGCUUCCAAAUCGACGAUCGGCUCCGUUAGACUUGGUCUACACUAUUUAAAGUAUUAGAAAACUAAAUUUCAUAAAAUUUUGACAUUAUUUGGGUAGUGAUCAGAAUGUCUCAAAAUUGACAAUUUUAAUGGUCGAUGUGAUGCGUUUGUGAAUUUAACGGUAUAAAAUAAUCCAAAUCUGAUGAACUUUUUAUAAAUUUUUUUUUUCACUAUUUAGAGUAAGAUCAGUAGCUCUGAUAUUAAAUUCAAGUCUUUUAUCAUUAUUUUUUAUGAGAUUUUUAUUUUCAGCCAUUUAUUUUUAGAUUACUUGUUUGAUAGGUAAAUUAUGUUAAAAAAUUAUAAAAUUUAGUUUCCAAAUAGUUUGAAUACUGUAGAUCAAGUCUAACGGAGCUGAUCGUCAAUUUAGAAGCCGCAUCGUCGAAAACAACUUAAUAGCACGGAAGGCUCCGUGCUACUGAUAGUAUAUCAACCUAGCUCUAUUUCUACUUGUGAUCGGUAUAUAUAUACACUAGUGAAUUACCUACGCGAUGCUGCGGAUAUAAAAUAUUUUAAUAAUAAAUUUUAAUUAAAAUAUUUAUAUUAUUUUAAUUUUUAAUUAUUAAUUAUAUAAAUUUAAAAAUAAUUUGAAUAAAAAGAAUGUAAAUUGGUUUAUGUGCUACAAA